UUAUUUAAGGUCUAACCUGCCCACUGAUAUUAAAAAAAUUAAAUGGCCGCAGUAUUUUAACUGUGCAAAGGUAGCAUAAUCAUUAGUCUUUUAAUUGAAGGCUUGUAUGAAUGGUUGGACGAGAUAUAAACUGUCUCAUAUAAAAUUAAUAUUAUAAUUUUAUUUUUUAGUUAAAAAGCUAAAAUUUUGUUGAAAGACGAGAAGACCCUAUAGAUCUUUAUAUAUAAGUUAUUUAUUAUUUUUUAGUUUGUUAAUAUUUAUUAAUUAAUAUUAUAUAUUUUGUUGGGGUGACAUUAAAAUUUAUAAAACUUUUAAUAUUAAUUUUUACAUUAAUUUAUGAAAAUUUUGAUCCACUAUUAGUGAUUAUAAAAUUAAGUUACCUUAGGGAUAACAGCGUAAUCUUUUUGGAGAGUUCUUAUCGAUAAAAAGGGUUGCGACCUCGAUGUUGGACUAAAAUUAAUACUAGAUGCAGCAGUUUAGUUAUUUAAGUCUGUUCGCCUU
rnacentral:rRNA from 1 species